AGGGGCAGCAUGAACUUAGCUUGCUGACUUUGCCGGCGACCGGCGCACGGGUGAGUAACACGUAUCCAACCUCCCGCAUACUCGGGAAUAGCCUUUCGAAAGAAAGAUUAAUGCCCGAUGGUUUCAAGGGAUUGCAUGGUAUCUUGAAUAAAGAUUCAUCGGUAUGCGAUGGGGAUGCGUUCCAUUAGGCAGUUGGCGGGGUAACGGCCCACCAAACCGACGAUGGAUAGGGGUUCUGAGAGGAAGGUCCCCACAUUGGAACUGAGACACGGUCCAAACUCC
rnacentral:rRNA from 1 species